rnacentral:lncRNA from 1 species
UCCGCGGUGAAUUCACCUAUUAGGUGAUGGGAUGGUUAAUAUAUAUCCACUAUGGUGAAUAAAAUGGUUGCAUAGUUAUCACCAUCGGGGAUGACGGGGCGGGGACGGGUGCACCAUUUCCCCGUCCCCGCCCCCCGUGGUGACCCGACUGAGGACUAAUUCUAGACUUUUUAGACGUUUUGGCCCAUAGUAUUGAAGCCCAGUUAACAGGGCUAUAUAAAGUCUAACCCUAGUCAACCGGUCAACCAACAAUCCCACAUCCAAAAUUCCAAAUCCUCCGGUCCAGAUCGAGCACAGCUGUACGGAGCGCCUCUUCUCCGGGCCGCCGGCGCCAACUCCUCCGGCAGUCCGGCACUCCGGCUCUACGCUGCAGCCACACCGCCACCGCCAGCCGUUCCAGACGCGCGCGCCGCCGCUGUCCCGUCCCCUCCAUCGGGCGUCGACGCGCCGCCGGAAGCCGCCGGUGUCGCGUUGCCCGGCGCCUGCAGCCGUCAACGCGGGCGUGGCGCCAGCAGCCGUCGUCUCGCGGCCGGGAGAAGCCGUCGCCGGGAGCACGCCAUCCGUCGGGAGCCGCCAUCGCCGGGAGCACGCCAUCCGUCGGGAGCCGCCGUCGCCUGGUUUGAUAUCUAGUGUGCUGAUUUGUUGAUCCAUGACUAAUAGUUGUUAAGUGGAUUAUUUUCGAAAAAUACUGAUGUGCUGUAUUGCUCAAGUGUUGAUUUGUGUUUCUUUGCAUUUAUAUAUGUAUGGUAUGGAGUUUGGACUUUAGAGAUUAACUAGGAAAGAGGCGGGCACUUAUAUUAUUGAAAGGUAAGAUUAUUGUAUGUUCAGAAAUUUUGUCUUAUAGAUUAAGGGCAAAUUAAAGUUUGGAUGAUUCUAUUUUAUAAUAAUUUAAGGGUUCUAUUUUUCUUAAGGUAUCUUAGAAAACCAUUCACAAACUUUUGAGUAGAAGAUAUUUGAGUAGGAGAUGGAUUAAGUACUUAUGAUUUUUGAAUCAUGUUUCUUUUUUCUCGAGUAAAUAAGAAACUAUUGCUAGUUAAUUAUCAUAUAGUCCAUCUAUAUACAUACCGUGUAGUAUGGCCGCAAAUGAAAAAUGCGAGUGCAAGAUACUCAAAAUUCUUUUGAUUAAAUUGUCUCAUGAAGACGCAUGAUAUAGGAAUAAAGGGAGGGAAGCAUAUGCAUGGGAAAAAAAAGAAGGAGAAAAAAUGAAAAAAAGGGAGGGGAAGCGUACCUACCCAUGCACGUAGGUGCGUACCUAUGCCGCGGGAGGAGAGGUGGGACCUCGUAGUAUUUAGUUUGUUCUAAGAUCAAUUUAAUCUAAUGGUUUAUAAUAUUGGACCUAAUGAUUUAAGUGAAAAUCAAGAAAUAGAUACUUUGAUUUUUUUUCUUAGAAUUUCUAAUAUUUGCCCUAAUUUAUUAGAGCACCACGUCACAGCUUGAGAGCAUUUUAAUGAAUUUUAAAUGACUUAACACAUGUAAUUACAAACAAAUAGUACAAAAUCCAAAUACGACAUAACACAAAUACAUUAUAAUUAUUAUGUAAUCAACUCUCGGUUUCAACUUAAACAGAGCUAAUUAGUGUUGAGAAAAACACAACCCAUGGUGCUUAAUUAUUCUCUUUGCUACAUCACACUUUUAAUUUUCUUUUCAUGUUAUUAACAAAAUUAAUUAUCUCCAUAUAUGAUUUGAUAUGUAGCAAAGCAGUAGCUCUACAGCGGUUGUGAUCACCUUAUAUGUCUCAGACACUACACCUUGUCACACAUGCGAAAGGCAAAAGGUGCAAACGUGCAUUGUGCAGCGGGCAAAAAGAGAAUUCCGGACACUUUAUUUAUUAGCAAACAAUAGAUCCGAUGAUUAUAAUAAUAAGUCCACCAGUUUUAGUGUAAGUGUACAUUAGUUAAUAUAGAUUUUAAAUUAUUAAUUUAAUGGGUAUACAAUAUAAUGGUGUAGACCUUAUUUUGAAACAGUGCAUUACUUGAGAAUAAUAUACCAAUGUAAUAAAAAGUAGAUUCGAUGAUUUAUAUAAUGGGACCAUCAGUUUAAGUGCACGUAAAAAUUAGUUAAUAUAGAUAUUGUUUAUUUAAUAGGUACAGAAUAUAAUUGUUUAAAAUUUAUUUUAAAAUAGUUCAUUAUUUGAAAGGAAGAUUUUUUUUGUUAUAUGAUAGUAGAUUCUUUGUUUUGUAAAAUUAUGAUUUUUUAAAAAAUAUAUCCACUGUAUAUAUAAAUGAAAAAAAGAAAAGAAAAGAAAAAAAGGAAGGAAGCGUACUUAUAAUGUAUACGUACAUAUAUACUCCAUCUACCACCUGCCAACGCGCGGGAGGAGGAUAGGUGGGACCCAUGGUAUUUAGUUUGUUUUAAGAUCAAUUUUAUCUAACGGUGUAUAAUAUUGGACCCACCAAUUUAAGUGAAAAUCAAGGGGUAGAUGUUUUUCUUUUUUCUUAGAAUUUCUAGGAUUUUCUAUAUUUUAUUAGAGCGCCACUUGGCGGCUUGAGAGUGUUUGUAGGAAGUCUCAUGAACUUUUAGUAUAUAAUAGAUAGAAGAUAGAAGAUAGAUAGAUAGAUAGAUAGAUAGAUGUCGCUAAUAUUACAGUUAUUGGCAUGUAUUUUUACCCUUCUAUUAUCUCACAAGUCAACAUCUGUAAUAAUAGGGUCAUCUUGACAUAGAAUGUGUAUACCAUAUAUCACGAUCAGGAGAUAGCCUCCGACCUUAAUUAUGCCUCAAUUAUGCAGGCGAUCGAUGCAUUGGCGUUGGCGGCAGCUAGUCCACUGUUUCAACG